rnacentral:rRNA from 2 species
GGUUAAGCGACUAAGCGUACACGGUGGAUGCCCUGGCAGUCAGAGGCGAUGAAGGGCGUGCUAAUCUGCGAUAAGCGCCGGUAAGGUGAUAUGAACCGUUAUAACCGGCGAUACCCGAAUGGGGAAACCCAGUGUGACUCGUCACACUAUCAUUAACUGAAUCCAUAGGUUAAUGAGGCGAACCGGGGGAACUGAAACAUCUAAGUACCCCGAGGAAAAGAAAUCAACCGAGAUUCCCCCAGUAGCGGCGAGCGAACGGGGAGGAGCCCAGAGCCUGAAUCAGCAUGUGUGUUAGUGGAAGCGUCUGGAAAGGCGCGCGAUACAGGGUGACAGCCCCGUACACAAAAGCGCAUGUGCUGUGAGCUCGAUGAGUAGGGCGGGACACGUGGUAUCCUGUCUGAAUAUGGGGGGACCAUCCUCCAAGGCUAAAUACUCCUGACUGACCGAUAGUGAACCAGUACCGUGAGGGAAAGGCGAAAAGAACCCCGGCGAGGGGAGUGAAAAAGAACCUGAAACCGUGUACGUACAAGCAGUGGGAGCACCCUUUGGGUGUGACUGCGUACCUUUUGUAUAAUGGGUCAGCGACUUAUAUUCUGUAGCAAGGUUAACCGAAUAGGGGAGCCGGAGGGAAACCGAGUCUUAAUUGGGCGUUAAGUUGCAGGGUAUAGACCCGAAACCCGGUGAUCUAGCCAUGGGCAGGUUGAAGGUUGGGUAACACUAACUGGAGGACCGAACCGACUAAUGUUGAAAAAUUAGCGGAUGACCUGUGGCUGGGGGUGAAAGGCCAAUCAAACCGGGAGAUAGCUGGUUCUCCCCGAAAGCUAUUUAGGUAGCGCCUCGUGAAUUCAUCUCCGGGGGUAGAGCACUGUUUCGGCUAGGGGGCCAUCCCGGCUUACCAACCCGAUGCAAACUGCGAAUACCGGAGAAUGUUAUCACGGGAGACACACGGCGGGUGCUAACGUCCGUCGUGAAGAGGGAAACAACCCAGACCGCCAGCUAAGGUCCCAAAGUCAUGGUUAAGUGGGAAACGAUGUGGGAAGGCCCAGACAGCCAGGAUGUUGGCUUAGAAGCAGCCAUCAUUUAAAGAAAGCGUAAUAGCUCACUGGUCGAGUCGGCCUGCGCGGAAGAUGUAACGGGGCUAAACCAUGCACCGAAGCUGCGGCAGCGACACUGUGUGUUGUUGGGUAGGGGAGCGUUCUGUAAGCCUGUGAAGGUGUGUCGUGAGGCAUGCUGGAGGUAUCAGAAGUGCGAAUGCUGACAUAAGUAACGAUAAAGCGGGUGAAAAGCCCGCUCGCCGGAAGACCAAGGGUUCCUGUCCAACGUUAAUCGGGGCAGGGUGAGUCGACCCCUAAGGCGAGGCCGAAAGGCGUAGUCGAUGGGAAACGGGUUAAUAUUCCCGUACUUGGUGUUACUGCGAAGGGGGGACGGAGAAGGCUAUGUUGGCCGGG